rnacentral:lncRNA from 1 species
AGUCGGGCUCCUACUGGGGAGCUGCGACAGUUUGGUGGUACUCGAGGCCGCCCUUCAAGGCGGGCCCCGAAGGCCCGGCCUGGUGAAGAGUUGGUUUUGUCAGCAGUUUGGUUUCUCCAUGUUUGACAGCUUCCCUUUGCUCACCCAAAUGGGAGAAAAAGCAAGAUGAAUGUACUUUAAUACUAAAAGAGUAAGAGCCCAUGAGCACAACACAAUUCCAGACUUCAAAGAAAAGGAGGAAUUAAUAAGUGAUGUCCCCAAGAAGGCAGAAAUAUCUGCAGUCCAGAUCUGGGAGAGGUGAUUUGUGUCAAGUAUUUUGUUACAGCACUGAAAAGUAUGGCAUGCUACUUAGAGAAUAAGACUCUGUAGAUUAAAUAGAUUGCUCCUGUGAAAAAAUAUCCUGGUUAUUCAAUAAAUACUUCGCGUAGGAGGAGUAGAGAAAGAUGGGAAC